GAGAUUUAAUCUCCCUAAAGGCCCGUAGGAGACUACUACGUUGAUAGGCAAGGUGUGUAAGCGUUGUGAGGCGUUGAGCUAACUUGUACUAAUGACCCGUGAGGCUUAACCAUACAACACCUAAUGUGUUU
rnacentral:rRNA from 1 species